CACUCUGGAUGGCGUGGUCACUGUCCUCACCUGAAUUUCCUGCUUAGGAAAUAGCAGCUGAGAGAACUCAGGGCAGUGCUGGUGAGAGCACACCCAUCGGGGCGGGUAUAAAGGGUGAAGCUGACACUGGUCACCACCGCCCCACCUGCCCUCAAGAUGAAGUCCGGCAGCCUUAUCGUCUUCCUGGUGAUAUUUGCCUUUGGAUUCCUGAUGCCCUGGGCUGUGGAAGGGGCUCCCGAAAAAAUAGGUAAACCUGGAGCCUGUCCUUUCAUACGCCCUGCGAUGUGCCUUGUAUAUGAACCACCUGAAUGCCACAGUGACUGGCAGUGUCCGCAGAGGCAGAAAUGCUGCCAGGAUGUUUGUGGCAUCAAAUGCAUGGAUCCUGUAGGCACGUCAAAGCCAGAUUCAUCCUUUCCAGGUCAAAAACAUUAGGACUUCCUGGUCUGUGUGCUCUGGGGAUUUCCCCCCUCCCCACCCUGCAAGUCUGGAAAACAAUGAAAGCACCUUGGUCAGGAUGUGGUUUUGUGACCAAUACUCCUUUGGGGACGAGAUCUGGCCUGUUUUAUCUAUGUAUCCUCAGCAUCCAAUGUGAAGCUUGGCACAUGACAGGAAAUGCCUAUUGAUCAGUGAAUAAAUAAAUGUACCAGGUUUUCUCUGCA